CAGUAGCCGCGGUAAUACGUAGGUGGCAAGCGUUGUCCGGAAUUAUUGGGCGUAAAGGGCUCGCAGGCGGUUUCUUAAGUCUGAUGUGAAAGCCCCCGGCUCAACCGGGGAGGGUCAUUGGAAACUGGGAAACUUGAGUGCAGAAGAGGAGAGUGGAAUUCCACGUGUAGCGGUGAAAUGCGUAGAGAUGUGGAGGAACACCAGUGGCGAAGGCGACUCUCUGGUCUGGAACUGACGCUGAGGAGCGAAAGCGUGGGGAGCGAACAGGAUUAGAUACCCGCGUAGUCCCUGUCUCUUAUAC
rnacentral:rRNA from 1 species